GUUAAAACAAACUUACUUCAAACUUGUUCAACUCAAUAAAUAUUUUGCAUAGAAGACAAACCAAAGUGAAUCUUCAAUGAAAAUAUGAUUUAUUUUAAAUGCUUUCUUGUAUUAUUUUUAAUAGUAGGCGGCUGACGCCUCGUGAGAGAUCAUAAGAAUAUAUAGUAUUUCAAAACACAAAGUAGCAUUUUGCUUAGGGGUAGAUCAACGAGUAUUUUAGUCCUUGAAAUUGUAAUGAUUUGCCAAUUUAGUCGCUCAAAUUUGCAAAUAGUUAGUCUCUUAAAUUGAAAAACAUUGGUCAAUAUAGUCUUUUUUCUUCUUUCAAAUUUAACACCACAAUUUUAAAAAUUAUAGGCUUGUUUUGAUGCAGCAAGUGACUAUUCAAGUCCAUAUGCUGGUUUUUCAUUGGUUUUGAUGGAUGUUUACUAAAGAGAUAUUUUGAUGGAGGGACUAAAUUGAUAGAUGUUCUUUAAUUUAAUGGACUAAUUUGCUAUUAUGUAAAUUUGAUUAUAUAAAUUGCUCAACCUUUACAUUUUCGAGGACCGAACUGCUUACUCACCUUGGGGUAGGAUAGAAACACUAAGUCGAAGACACUUUGUAGCAUAAUAUAAAAAAUACUAUGCAUUCUGGAUACCGAACUCUUUCGGUAUCUAAAAUAUAACAUUCAUUUAUAAUGGUGAAAACUGAAAAAAUCUAUUUUUGUUUUAUUAUUAAAAAUAUCUCUCAAGUAUAAGGAUUCGGUUGUUCAGAAGUACUAGUAGGGAUUUAGUUAUAUAUGAAUACUAAUAGGGAUUUAGUUGUAUAGUAAUCUAGUAUAUAUAUAUAUCUGAUGUAUUGUCAACAUAUUUCAAUUCAAUAAAAUAUAUUUUUACCCUAAUUCUUGAGAUGGCAUCAGAGAUCUCGGUCUCUGAGAGUCUCGCUUCCGCAUAAACCAGUCGCCUUCAUUGCGGUUUCUUUUUUUUGAAACCUUAGUCACCUUCAUUGUGGCCCUACUUGUUGCCUUCAUAGCAACAACUUGAGAUUUCUUUUUGGCAUGUUCGCUGCCAUAGUGUGUUCAAUAUUCACACUGUUACUAUUCACGUCCGUUUGACUGCCUACUUCACGCCACCGCCCACAUCACAAGACUCGUCUCCAUUAGAUCGGCCGAAACCUAAGGUGUCGUUGUCAACAGCCUAUUCACGCGCGCCUUCUAGUUCAACACGUGACGUCCUCUCUGGCGCGUGGUGCCCACGAGCCGCCUUCUAGACCUCCGUUCAACGCCGUUUUCAGCUAGAUUGCAGGUCGGCCGUUUCUCGUUUCGUUUUGGGGGUUCACUUUCUGAUCGGAGCACUUUUGAUUGUGGGUCAUUUGAAGCUCACACGAUUUUUGCUCGGACUUUUCUAUUGCGCCAUUAUAGCACACUUAUAAUUUGUGGAUAUUUUUUAGACAUUUGAAGUUUGUUUUGUUUGAUAGAUUAAUUUUUCGUCUCUAAUAUCGUUUGUCUGGUGAUUUUACGGAUAUGGCAGUUAAAGAAAUCAAAAGUGGAUUGGCCCGACUCAACGAAGAUGAAGUAGAGAAGAUUAUAUCACUUCUUAGUAAGAUGGAGAAACCAACAGGACAAGAAUUCAGGGAGGACAAUUGGUAAUGCUAGAACAGAAUGAUCUUUAUUACUUGGAUAAUCAAAAUCUUCCUCCAAAUCUACUCAACAAUACCAACUUUUUUUUUUCUAAAUCAAUAAAGACCAAUAGGAACAAAGUCAUUUUGUAUCAUUGUUGCCUGGGUCAUCCUUCAUUUAUAGUCAUAAAAUAGUCGUUUCCUUCCCUCUUCAAAAAAUUAGAGAUAGAAAGUCUUCACUAUGAGGUGUGUGAGCUUGCUAAACACAAAUGUGUACCUUUUCUAGUUAGUAACCAAAUGAGUACUUCUCCAUUCCGUGUAGUUCAUACUGAUGUAUGGGGUCCUUCUAAUGUUCCAAAUAUAUCAGGAGCCUGUUGGUUUGUAACCUUUAUUGAUGAUUGUACUCAGGCUACUUGGGUUUACUUGCUAAAACAAAAAUAUGAAUUCAGUUAUGUGUUUGUA